rnacentral:rRNA from 1 species
AUCUAAGGCCAAACCACCUUUAACGCGCCCGAACUAAUCUGAUCAGAGAAGCCAAGGAGGGUCGGGUCUGGUUAGUACUUGGAUGGGAGACCUCCUUUGAAUACCGGGUGCUGUAGGCU